rnacentral:sRNA from 1 species
AUAGCAGUACUGUAGCAGGCAGCGCAAAAACCAGCGUUAACAAAGGUUAAGGGCAAGCAAGAA